CGCACAAAGGAGGCGCCGUUGAGGAGGCGGGGUGACCAGCCGGCCGCUCGUGCGGUGACGAUGCCAGACAAGCGAGUAUAGGUGGGGCGUGGCCGCCGAGGGUCUAGGGUGAGGUGGAAACGGAGUUGGAACGUUCGAGACGUCUCGCUGAGCUUAUCAACUUGAUUCGCCGCGGCCGUCUCAUUGACUCCGGCCGCACCGUUGAAGGGGCUAGCCGGCAGGGCGGCCACCUCGACGAUGAAAACCAUUCCGGGGGUAGGGGGGAGAUGUCUGUGUGUUGAGAACUAAUGUGCUCUUUGUCUUGCGAAGAGAUUGGUCGUGCGGGCAUCCCACGAACGCGUUUACGGUGAAGCCGUGUACGAAGAGGUUCGCGCCGUCGCGACCAGAGUCGGCGGAGGUGCCGAGAGGCUCGAUGAAGUACAGAAGGCGAGCGAGAGAUAAGAUGGUAGGCCUCGGAGCCGGUGCGGUGGGACGGCGAGAGGAUGCGUUUAAGUCGACGGGGUCUGGAACGGAACGAGGCUACGGUUGGGUGAACCGCACCCGAAGGUGUAACUGCAACAACUACUGCUGGAGACCGGGCGAAGGAAGCCGAAGAGGAGCCUAGGGUGCGGCCCACUGGUCACAGAACUAUGGAAGGUUCUUGUACCUCUUCUUGUGUACGUGCUAAGCCUACUACUCUAUCUACUGUACUCCGUGGCGUUCGUCGAGAAGAUGUUCGACCUGUCCCCCAGGUUCCUCAAACUCCUCAUAUUGAACGGGAACGCGGCGUCUACCUUCUCUCUAUUUGGGUUACGGUUCCUAGGUAGGCUAACGCUCUUCCACCUUGGACUCUUCGGUCGAGCAAACUUCCAGGGUUUCGACUUUCGUCUCGGACGUCACGUAUUCCUACUGUAUCAACUCCCCUUCUCCCUGGCUCACGGUUGAAAAUUGGUCUACUGACUAGGAAUGGUGGUGGGAAAGACGGACCUGUAUGUACAGAGGUUCCCCAGCCACGCACGAACGAAGCAGGUGGCUCACUGGUCGUCCCAACACAGCCAGCGAGUGAGGUAUAGUUUCCUGUACUUCAAACUAGACCCAAGUUCCUUCCCGUAGUUCCGUACACACCGCCAACCCCGCAAUGAACGCUUCGCACGCUAUCUCCUACUAUAAGUGUUACGUUAAAUAUGUGGAUCUUUUCCCCUGUUUUAGCUUCCUUUUUAACUCCAACACAACGCACCUUAUUAACUCUUACCUCAGCUACACUUCCACUUUGAGUUUGUAUCCUCCUUCGAUUGUUUCUUACGCGGCCACCACGUCGUUCCGCCACUCAGAGCCACUGUCGAGUUGCCAACCGGUCGUAUAUAUUGGGGAACUACCGUACUCGGGUUACGACGUCCUAGGUAAAAUACAGUAGAGCCUUCUGUUUGGUACUCUACAUCUUGUCGAUUUCCCGUAGACCCGUAGGACAAAGUCUAGAAUCGUAAACACGGGGGUCCUUGAGCGACGAGACGGAGCGACAGAUAUGAGACGUCAAACACUGUUCGGAGGUCAAGGUACACAGAACAGAAACCGGACGAAGUACCGUAGUCGUCGCAAGCUCUAACCUCACGUGUACUGUACCGCAUCAAACCAUCUACGGACACGAAACACCAUCCUAAGAUGGCCGAAAAGCGAAACCAUCACAACAAGAAAAAUGUUAGAGCGAACGAGUUCAAGUCUCUACAUUGACUCUAGGGCCCGACAUAGACUGAAAAAAGAUCGAACCUUACUUGAAGAGGUAAACGUGGUUCAAGGGC
rnacentral:rRNA from 1 species